rnacentral:rRNA from 1 species
UACGUAGGGGGCAAGCGUUGUCCGGAAUCAUUGGGCGUAAAGAGCGUGUAGGCGGCCCGAUAAGUCCGCUGUGAAAGUCCAGGGCUCAACCCUGGAAUGCCGGUGGAUACUGUCGGGCUAGAGUCCGGGAGGGGCGAGUGGAAUUCCUGGUGUAGCGGUGAAAUGCGCAGAUAUCAGGAGGAACACCAAUGGCGAAGGCAGCUCGCUGGGACGUGACUGACGCUGAGACGCGAAAGCGUGGGGAGCAAACAGG